GCGAGUGUCGUAUAGUGGCCAUUACGCUUGCUUCCCAAGCAAGUGACGGCGGUUCGAUUCCGCUCACUCGCU
rnacentral:tRNA from 1 species